GAUGAACGCUGGCGGCGUGCCUAAUACAUGCAAGUCGAGCGAACGGACGAGAAGCUUGCUUCUCUGAUGUUAGCGGCGGACGGGUGAGUAACACGUGGAUAACCUACCUAUAAGACUGGGAUAACUUCGGGAAACCGGAGCUAAUACCGGAUAAUAUUUUGAACCGCAUGGUUCAAGAGUGAAAGACGGUCUUGCUGUCACUUAUAGAUGGAUCCGCGCUGCAUUAGCUAGUUGGUAAGGUAACGGCUUACCAAGGCAACGAUGCAUAGCCGACCUGAGAGGGUGGUAGGCCACCCUGGACCUGAGCCACGGCCCAGACUCCUAUGGGAGGCAGCAGAAGGGAGUCUUCCGCAAUGGGCGAAAGCCUGACGGAGCAACGCCGCGUGGGGUAUGAAGGUCUUCGGAUCGUAAAACUCUGUUAUUAGGGAAGAAGAUAUGUGUAAGUAACUGUUCACAUCUUGACGGUACCUAAUCAGAAAGCCACGGCUAACUACGUG
rnacentral:rRNA from 1 species